GGCCCCAGGGGGUCAGCCAUUUUGACCACAAGGCUAAAACUCUCCAGCCUUUCAAGAAGUAGUCAGUCUUGGUUAGGUGAGUGUACCAAGGCUCCAGUGGGGACCGGGAUAACCCCCAUCGGUCCAAAGGGGAGGGAACAGGACUCAGAACUAGCAUGAUCGGCCGCCUCCCCGACCCAGAGUGUAGAUGCAGGCUGCAGGUAAUCUGCCAUGGGCUGUGUUCACGUGUGGCAAGAAUGUGCCAGUAGAUUGGUAUUAUGCUCCCCAGGUGUGGGAUCAAAAUUGUAGCCAAGGUAGGAGCAAGAAAGUACAGUUUUAGGCUUGUGACAGAGAUUUACCUGGAGAGCUCCAGCAGCAUGCGACUGUCCUGGUCAGCUAUCAGGCUCCGCCCCCCAAAAACAAAAAACUUUCUUUGUAUAGUCUCUUUUCUUGGUGGUGUUUCAGUUAGCCUGGUUUCUUUGCUUGUGGAUACAUCACCAACUCAUACAUGCAUGGGUUGAUAUCAACAUGUCUGGUCCUAAAG